AGCUUACACUUAUAAUAUAGCCUAUUGCUUAUUAGGGUUUUCACGGUGUGAAAAUUUAACCUCACGGUAGGGCUGCUCGAUUAUGGCAAAAAUAAUAAUCACGACUAUUGUGACUGAAAUUGAGAUCACGAUUAUUUAGGACGAUUUUUCAAUUUAUGUUGAUUUUAUUUGUUUUUAUUCAGUCAUAAAAUUGCUCAGGGCACAAUCAGGACAAAAAUAAGAAACAAGAUGAUCACUAAAAUAACUCCUGAUUCCCAGUAUAAAAACAUCAAUUUAUUUAUAGCUCAUAGUUUAUGACCCAAGGGUUUGGUUUAACUCAUUUAAGUCUAACUAGUACAGACCCAAAUAGCAAUAUCUUGCAAACACUGACAGCAAGAAUUAUACAGUGGCAUUUAUAACAAAUACAUGCAAAUAAAUUGAUGUUCACAAAAUGUUGCAAAAUACGUAUUUAGUCGUGUCAAGGUGCUGUAGGAGAGUGCACUAACACUGUGUCCUCAGAGAGAUUAGUUAUUAGUUAUCAGCGUGAGGAACUUAUUUCUACCUUAUUUAUAAACUAUUUAUUUACAGGUCCAUCAGUUAAUCUAAUAAUUGUCCCAACCACAGCUGCACCCCCCAACCCGGUCUCACAGCAAUCGGGGCAAGCUGCACGUAUGUUCAGCGCGCCGCACGCGCACAUUUAGCCAUUUUUAGUGGCUCAGGAGUCCGCAGGUGCGGUGUGUGUCACUCACUCUGGUUACUCCAACAAGGAGCCGGCUCCGAGAGCUGUUUCUUUAGCGACUGACGCAUCACUACAUCAUUUCCUUUCCUAAUGUCCUGAAGAACGGUCCGGAGUGCAGGCGGAGUGUUUAGCUAACCUGCAGGAAACGUCGACGACAGUUAUCCAGAAAGUAGCUAAGGGUUACCAGAGAUGUUUCUCAGGUGUUCGCUAGGUACUUUUAAGUUAAAAAGUCAAGAAGGGGGUCUGAAAAGCUGCUAGAAAUAGCGUCACAGUCACUAAGUUGGCAACACUGUGGGAGGAGCGCUUCAUUUGCAACUCAGGGCAGCGCAAGCGGGAGGAGAAAAUAAUCGGCUUGUUUUGUUUUUUAUAAUCAUUCAAAACUCAGAUCGUAAUCGUGAUUAAAAUUCGAUUAAUUGAGCAGCCCUACCUCACGGUUAUUGUGACCACAAUUACCACGGUUUUCAGUAUUAUCGCGUUUUUUUUUAAACGCGUUACAUUGCAGACAAGUAAAUAAACCCUGUAUGUCAGGAAAAUAUUGUCCUUGGUUUGUGUCUAAAUUUAGCCUAAAAUGUGUUAUUUUGUAAUUAUGUUGUUUAUUUGUUUACAUAUUUCCCCUUUAGUCUUUAAAAUACCAAUAUUUGCCCAUAACUUCUUAUUUUUUGUCUGUUUGAUGUCAUCAUUUUAAAAAUAUUAGACCAGAUGAUACUCAGUACUCAAGUAGCCUUCUAAUCAGAUACUUUUUUACCCUUACUUGAGUAAUAAACCCUAUAUCAGGAAAAUAUUGUCCUCGGUUUGUGUCCUUCCAGUGAGCUUUGCAGAUGUGGGAAAAUGUCAUCAGGCAGUAAUCAUUGUUAAAUUCAUAAUUAUUCUCUGAGAGAGACCAACUCUUAUCUGCCCCUGGGAGCCCCGUAAUGCAUAGCGUCAUUUCAACAUGGCGGUGUCCGUGACACGGUUUAUAUGCAGGUAGCGGCGCUGCGGCUGCUUUAUAUAGCCACUCGUUGCGUUCUCCCUCAACCCAAAUCCUCGGAUCACGCAUUUUAGCUAAAAUGCUAACGUUAGCUUGCCUUGCAUUGACUGUAGAGUUGUGGGUGAUGGUCACGCAGAUGUGUCAUGAGAUUUGAAGCGUUGCUGCCUUUCACAGACACUUUUUCUGCACGUGCUGCAAACAGGAUAGCCGUCUUCUAUCAGCUGUCCCUCGGCAUUCUUCAGAUAUCCCAAAAAUGCCCGUACUUCCCACUUUGUCUUCUUUGAGGGAUAAUAAAUGUCCUGAAUGCUGCCGUCUCCUCCUUCAGCUUUAGCUUCAAGAAAGUUUUGGUUGUAAACAACAAAGUGCGCAUGUGCUGCCGGCAACUUCAGCAGAUGAUACGGUGGCUGGUAAGGGUCACCGCGCCUACACCGCAGCCACGGUAACCCACCGAGAUAAUAUAGUUUUUUUUUUAAAACAAGAUGGUUAUUAUUAUUGUCAACUUUUUUACCGGGGUUUACCGCUACACCGGUUACCGUAACAACCCUAUUGCUUAUACACCAGGAUGCAGCUGCUCUAAUAUACACACCAUUAGCUUCUAGUUUGAAGUAUGAUCAGUUAUUUACUAUCUAACUAUAAAGACACGAUGGGAGAUUAUGAAACAUGAGCGGGCUCAUAUCCGUCUUUGCUUGCCAAGGUGUGCAUGUUGGCUUUGUAACAAACUCGUCCAUUGAAGAGGAGCGCUGUUUUGUACACUGUAACAUAAUAGGAUAAAAUAAAGCAUUAGCGUUUGUAACAGAAUAUCUGGUAAUGGUAAUGAAAUCGCCGUCACUGCUGUUGUUACUACAGCUAUAAAUAAAAGUAACUCCCUGUUGAUGUUAGCAGCUAACGGGAGGUAAUUAGCUUAGAGAGGCAACUGCCCCGCUUUGUUGUCCGGGACGUUGUGCAUCCUUUUAUGGUGUUCCUGCAUCACCAUUGUACUUCCAUGAAAAUAGAGUUCUACUUUGCAGGUUUUGCGCUGGACGUGCUUCUCUUUUAUCUUUGUAAAAUGCUCCCAAACUUUUUGGCUACGUUGCCGGCUCACCAUAUCUCGUUUUUUCCAGUGAUGCGACGGCUCACCUGGAUGGCCGCUACUGCGCAUGUGCCUCGAACAGAAAGCAGCGGCUGAUCCAGAUGGUCACUACUGCGCUAUGCCUUGAGCAAAAAGCAGUAGUGGUGCUGCAGCAGGCAAGAUUUAAAAAAAAAAUCAUAUAAUGAAUGAUGCCAACUAUUAAGUUCAUUGUCGACGUCAUCGUGACGAAUCGACUAAUCGUGGCAGCACUGCUUUUUAACCUGGCAUUGGCACAGGCUACAUACUUGCUGCUGCACUGCAGGUAGUAGUGGAGGGUUCCUCUAGGGGGCAGAGUAGAGAACUCAGACCGAGUAGACAGCUGGGUUUGUGGGGUACCAACAAACAAACAUGGCAGGGAUCAGUUACUGGUUAAUUUUGAGAUCACGGCAGCAGCGGUAUCAUAGAUGGUAUGAUAGACCUCUGAACCAGAGACAACGUGACCAUGGUGAGGAUGUCUUGCUUGUUUUUUCAACUCUGCCUACUGGUUAGGGUAAGGCAUGUUAGGACGCAUUUGUUUUGGUUGUUGGUACGCCAAAAAGCUGUUGCAGUCUGUCCACAGAAGUGCUCUGCAAUGUAAACAAAGCUGCCAGCUUCUGCCAGUGCAGCUCAGACUUUGCACACUGCUUGUUGGUAUUGUGCAAUCAUUCAACACACACAAAACCAAUUUUUUCACCCGCACAGAAAGUAAGUUGACUUGUUUUGACUUGAUGCUGUUUCCUAACCGACCUUGUGCACACAGCUACUCUUCUACAACUGCAAGUUCAUCACAGGGUUGAUUUGUUUUCUGUACUGCUCGCUCUUUAGGUUUGUAAAUACAAACAGAGAGGCACUAGGGUGGAGCGAUAGCGGUUUCAGAUUCUGAUAUUGAUCUGAUGGACUGCUAGUAAGGAGGCAUUUAAUCAUAUUUUAUUACAUGUGCUUGUACUAGAGAGCUUAGACUAGAGAAGACCCCUAAACUCUCUGUGAGGAGAUGAGAAAACUCUGGGAGUCGUGUUUCAGGGUAUAGGUCGGUUGUAUUCCUGGGAUUCCUUUUUGGUGACGUAAACCAAUCCAGCAGAGCGCAACAACCUUCCCAUCCCCUUUCUCCCUCAUACUCCCAUCCUCUCCCUCUGUUCAUAUCAGUCUGCCUUCUUUUGUUUACAUUCUUAGUAGUGUGUGUGUGUGUGUGUGUGUGGGGGGGGGGGGGGGGGGCUUUCAGUCUAACAAGCUUUGUUUGUUGCAGUUUUCUCAGCUUAGCAGCAGAGGGACUGUUUUUGAAGUAUGUGCCUCAUUAUUCUUGCAAAAGAAAAAAAAAAGUCGAGGUUAUUAAGAGGCUUCUGUAAUCUGUGUGUGAUUAAUGACACCAACCUGAUUGUUCUUCCUAUAGAGGUGCCAAGAUUUGCAAAUUAAAUAAAACGCAAGUAUUACGUGAUGACUCUUUGUUUCAACUCUGUUUGGUUUUCAUUUUUGAUUAAGUUGAGAUCAUGUUUCCAGAAGUUGAGACUUCCACGUGGAAGGUCUGGUGUAGAUGGUGACAAUUGGCUCGUGGUAAUGGUGAAUUCACAAGCAUUGGAACAUGUCAGGUUAUUCAUUCAAUGCAUUCAGGUGCAGAGUCAGAAAACAGAGUUGUUGGCUUAGUUUAACUGAAGUUGGACUUUCAGAGUGCAUGUAAACACGUCUGUCUGACUAAAGUCAAACUGAACUGGACUACUUCUACUCAGGCUAAGGUAUCCAGAUAACAUAUAUAGAAACUCGGUUCCUCUGCAUGUAAAAAGCUCAGCUGAGUUAUGACCGUCCGGGAAAUCCUCCUUCUGGGAUUGAUGAAGUCACUGAAGCGGUCUUCUAAUAUUAUCAUCGCCACAUAUUACCCCUGUAACACCAUCAAACAGUUCCAGAGAUGCCAAAUAAACAGUGACCGCUUCAGUCCUGCCAGUGUUUUAGGGCUUUUCCACUGCAUGACUCGGGAGGGGGCGGUUCAGUAUUUUCCUCUACUUCUCAGUCCCUGCUCCGUUGUGGUUCCGAGGGCUGACCCAGGCCGGUAUCUCAACUGGCGGUCUCUAAUUGAUUAGGAGGCCGCAUCACUGGUUGCUACAGAGCUUUCUAUUUCAGUCUGACGAGAAGACAUAAAACUGAGCAGGAUGUUCAACAACACCACAGUUUUUGUGCCAAGUUGUGUUUCUGUGUAGCAUACGGAUCACCUCACACUGUUUACUGAUCACCUCAUGCUGUUUUUGUCUCGAGUAAAGACCCCCUCUCCCUCCGCUAGAGCUGAAACAACUAAUCGAUUUAAUCGAUUAUAAUCGAUUAUUAAAAUAGUUAACAACUUUUUUAGUCAUCGAUUAGUUGUUUAAUAAUCAUAUUUUACCGCAUAAAGUCUAUUUUUUACCACAAUCUGACAUCGGUUACAAGCUGUUAAAUUUGCCGCCAGUGUGUGGCAGUAAUGAGCCACUGAUCUACCAGUGGAGCCGUAGAAGAAGAAAUGAGCCAAUGGGUGCCCUCGGUUUUCAUGACGUAUCACGUUACUGACGCUCAUCUUGCUGUGAGAAAAUGGCGGAACAAGAGGAAAUACGGAAGAAAAAUAGAAGCGACAAAACUGAAGAGAAACCCCGGACAAAAACCUCACGAGUAUGGGAGCACAUUUGAGACGAACGCAUGUGGGGGCUGAUGCAGCAGAGGAAGAGCACCGCGGUCAAGUGAGCCGUCAUUUGGAAGAGCCAGCCCGAAAAAAACAAGCAACGAUGGACAACUACAUGGGGAAGUAGACACUCACCCCCCAGCAAUUCAUACCACUUACAAACUCUAUUCUAAACAUGCUGGUAAAAGACAUGAGGCCACUAUCCAUGGUGGAAGGAGCAGGCUUCCAGCUAAUGCUAAAAAUUAUUCUGGACUGAUAUUUUGCACUGUUUAGCUCAUUUUAUACUGCUGACUGUGUUCAUGUGCAAUAAAAUAGAUUGCAGUCAACUGCACAAUUCUCUUAUGUUUUUUUGUUCUUAACUGAAAUGCAUCCAUCACUUGUAUAGGUUAAAUAGCUAAACAAUAACAAACCGAUUAAUCGAUUAAUCGAAAAAAUAA